rnacentral:piRNA from 1 species
UGGGUGAGCAGAAUAGGAGAGAAUACGAGG